GAUGAAGAACGUAGCGAAAUGCGAUAAGUAAUGUGAAUUGCAGAAUUCAGUGAAUCAUCGAAUCUUUGAACGCACAUUGCGCCCGCCAGUAUUCUGGCGGGCAUGCCUGUUCGAGCGUCAUUACAACCCUCAGGCCCCCGGGCCUGGCGUUGGGGAUCGGCGGAGCCCCCCGUGGGCACACGCCGUCCCCCAAAUGCAGUGGCGGUCCCGCCGCACCUUCCAUCGCGUAGUAGCUAACACCUCGCGACUGGAGAGCUGCGCGGCCACGCCGUAAAACACCCAACUCUUCUGAAGUUGACCUCGAAUCAGGUAGGAAUACCCGCUGAACUUAAGCAUAUCAAUAAGCGGAGGA
rnacentral:misc_RNA from 1 species